GGGGACAUGGAUUCGAUCCCUGGCCAGGUUUAGUGCGUUGGGAAUCCACCAUUGCCAUGGCUCUUGUGUAGGUUGGCAGCUCCAAUUCUGAUUGGACCCCUAGCCUGGGAACUUUCAUAUGCUGUGGGUGCAGCCCUUAAAACAAACAAACAAACAAACAAAAAAAACCCCACAGGGCCAAGCCCUUCCUGACACCAUGAAGAAAUAGCUGUCAUCCCUCUUAGCACUCACAACAUUGUCUAGAUUCUGGUGGUGUUUAGGAAGUAACCUGUUCCUUAUUCUUGUGCAUUUGUAUGCACUUCUGUCCAUUUAUGGUGUUGCAACUUGGCCCCCCUUGAAUGGACACCCCUACCACAGAGGGGUCUUCACUGUUUACAGUCAUACCUGGAAGUGUCCUCAGAGAGUCCUUUAAUGUAGAGGCUUCAGCAACCAGCUGUCAUAACUCAACAGUUACCCAGGAUGGCCUUAUGUUAUAAUUUCUUCUUUUCUUAGUUACGUUGACUAGAUGUUUAUCAAUUUUAUUAGUCUUGUCCAAUAACCAGAUUUUUUUUCGUUUUAAUAUUCUCCAUUGGUUCUUCACAAUUACAUUGAUUGUCCCUCAAUUUUUAUUAUUUUUAAAAUUCUGUUCAUUUUAGGUUUUGGUUUUGGGGUGUUUUUUUGGUUGUUUUAUUUUUUGUCUUUUUUAGGGCCUCACCUGCAGCAUAUGGAAAUCCCAGACUCGGGGUCAAAUCAUAGCUGUAGCUGUCGACCUAUGCCACAGCCAUAGCAACACCAGAUCCAAGCUGCGUCCCCCAACUUAUAUACAAGUUGCAUAAUCAUUUUGUGUAGUUUGAAAUAAUUUUUCAUAUAUCUUGAGACUUCUUCUUUGAUCCCAUGUGUUAUUUAGAAGUGAGUUAUUGAGGGAGUCUUCUUGCGGAACAUGGGUUAAGGAGCCAGCAUUGUCACUGCAGCGGCUUGGGGCCACUGCAGCAACUCGGGUCACUGCUGUGGCACAGAUUCGAUCCUUGGCCUGGGAACUUACAAUUUACAUGGGUGCAGCCAGAAAAAAAAAAAAAAGAGGGAGAGAGAGAGAGAAGUGAGUUACUGAAUGUCUACAUGUUUGGUUUUUUGAAACUACCUGUUAUUGAUUCCUAGAACAACACUUGUGUGAUUGAUGUGAGAGCAUAUUUUGUAUAAUUUCUGUUCUUUCAAAUUUGUUAGUCUUUUAAUGUCCUAGAAAAAUGUGUUCUCUUUUGGAGAAAUUUCCAUGAGGAUUUGAGAAGAAUGCAUCUUCUGCUUGAUAGCAAAAUUAACUCCAGUUGUUAGAUGGUGCUGUUGAGUUUAAUGCUGUCUUUUGUGAUGUUCUGCCUGCUGGAAUUUAAAAUUCAUUAUAAGGGGGUAUUGAAAUCUAUAACUGUAGUAGUGAAUUGAUUUAUUUUCUUGUAUUCUAUCAGUUUGGGCCUCUUGUAUUUUGUCCCUGUUAUGGGGAUAUGGCUGGGUACAUGGGGUGAGCUUAAAGCAGUGUCUUUUCACCACCCAGAUUGACUGCAUGUCAGUAUUUUUAUUGGUAAGACUGUUUCACACCAUCAGGUCUACACACUGUCAAUUUGAGGCAUUCCCCUGCUGGACCCCCAGCUCCCACCCUCUCAAGCCUCAUCUUUCCAAUCUCCCAACGGGAAAGUUCCAUACCCACACCCCUGAUAAACAUCACAACAGUGGAAAAGUGCACAGCCAUCCCGGGGCAAGACAGUCUACAGGUUUAGGCCCUGCUGAACCUUUCCUAUAAGUUGCUAAAAACACAGCUGAGUAUGUAGAUUGGAGACUGUUCUGAGACCAUGGACCUCAGAACCACACAGGCCCAGAAGUUACCCCGGACAGCAAAGGGGAGUGUGGGUCAUUCACAGGUUCAACGAGAUGUUCCAGCAUUUGGUGAAAAGAAACUGGAACAAGAGAAACAGAAAUGUUGCCUCUGCCUCAAGAGCUGCAGAAAACCAUCCAUCGUCCUUGGAAAGGACAUAGUCUUGCCACACACUAUCUGUAAGACACCCCCACUUUGGGGUUAGUUCCUCUGCCUGUGAGAGAACCUCCAACCUGCAAAUCCCAGGAUGGCCCUGCUGAACAACACUGAAAUGAUCCUGUCCUCCGAGGAAGGGGACACGGGGUGUCCUUCAUAGCCAAGGAGGGGGGCGGGCCCUUCCCCUUUCUCCCUUCUCCCAAACACAAGAAGCUGAUGACUUAUUUCAUGGCUUAUUUCAAGGAGAGGUAUGAGAUUCUGUAUGUCUCCAUGAGCACAAGUAAAAAAACCACCACACAACACCCAGGCUCUCAUGCAAGCAGAAUAGAACAUUAUAUGAAAAUCCUGUUUACAAGAAUUAAAUACUGCACCUUGCCUAGGUAAAUAGACAGUGGGUGUACAGAUGUCAGGAGAUGGGUGGGGGUGCCCCCUAUUUGGAGGCUUCACGGGACCCCAAGAAAAGGCUUAUAAAAUUCUCUUAAGAGCUGGCCCUGUGCACUGUGAAUGUCCCACUUGUGUCCCCACUAUAGAGGCAGUGGCUGUCCUUGAGCUGGCCUCAGGAGUCCGAUCAGCAACUGCUUCUGGUCAAAGUGUCAGGGGCUUGGUAACUGAAGAGAAAAGACAGGUUAUCUGUGAGGCCUGCAGUCACCUCACUGGCCCCACUACAGUCUGCUCCAAGUCCUGUGCUGAAUGCUCAGUCAACAGCACCCCAUUUGUCAUCGCCAUGGGAGUGGUCCUUCAGCAUCAUCCAUUUUAUAGAGGAUGAAUGAGUCCCAGAAAAGGGAGGAAAAUCUCCUUAUCAGGAGUUCCCCUUGUGGCUCAGUGGUUAACAAAUCCAACUAGGAACCACAAGGUUGCGGGUUCGAUCCCUGGCCUCGCUCAGUGGGUUAAGGAUCUAGCAUUGCCCUGAGCUGUGGUGUAGGUCACAGACUGGGCUCAGAUCCCGCGUUGCUGUGGCUGUAGUGUAGGCUGGCAGCUAUAGCUCCGAUUAGAUCCUUAGCUUGGGAACCUCCAUAUGCCACAGGUGCGGCCCUAGAAAAGACAAAAAAAAAAAAAAAAAAAAAAAAAAA
rnacentral:lncRNA from 1 species